rnacentral:piRNA from 1 species
UAAGAGGCCAUCUCUGCAUUAGUAAA